rnacentral:rRNA from 1 species
GACGACGCUGGCGGCGUGCCUAACACAUGCAAGUCGAGCGGAGGUAUUCAAGGAGCAAUCUGCGGAUACUUUAGCGGCGGACGGGUGAGUAACGCGUGAGCAACCUGCCUUUCACAGGGGGAUAAGGCGGCGAAAGCCGCUCUAAUACCGCAUGAGACCCCGGUGGUGAUACCACAGUGGUCAAAGGAGCAAUCCGGUGAGAGAUGGGCUCGCGUCCGAUUAGGUAGUUGGUGGGGUAAAGGCUCACCAAGCCAAUGAUCGGUAGCCGGCCUGAGAGGGUGAACGGCCACAUUGGAACUGAGAGACGGUCCAAACUCCUACGGGAGGCAGCAGUGGGGAAUAUUGGGCAAUGGGCGGAAGCCUGACGCAGCAACGCCGCGUGCGGGAAGAAGGCCUUCGGGUUGUAAACCGCUUUUCUAGGGGAAGAGGGAGGACGGUACCCUGGGAAUAAGUCUCGGCUAACUACGUG